UACGGAGGGUGCGAGCGUUGUUCGGACUUAUUGGGCGUAAAGCGCGUGUAGGCGGUUUUUAAGUCUGAUGUGAAAGCCCUGGGCUCAACCCGGGAAGUGCAUUGGAAACUGGGAGACUUGAAUACGGGAGAGGGCAGUGGAAUUCCUGGUGUAGGAGUGAAAUCCGUAGAUAUCAGGAGGAACACCGGUGGCGAAGGCGGCUGCCUGGACCGAUAUUGACGCUGAG
rnacentral:rRNA from 1 species